GCGUGGCGCGGUGCCGCUGUGCGUGCUCAUGGUCUCCUUCAGGGGUUCGGUCCGCGCGGGUUCGGCACCGGUCAUGCGGCGCCGAGUGCCAGUACCGAGGUCUGGCUGCCGAUGGCGAAGGCCAGCGACACCGCGAGUUCGGUGCGGGUCGCGCGGGCCCCCUCGGCGACGUGGUCGUGGUCGCACUCCGGGUCGGGCACGGCGUCCGCGUAGUUGGCGGUCGAGCACAGGCACUGGUGGUGCAGGGCCAGCGAGGUGGCCGCCGCGUUGACCAGGGCGGCGGCGCCCAGGAGGUGGCCGUACACCGGCUUGACGGAGCUGAGGGGCGGCCAGGCGGACCGCGGGCGGCCCUCGUACAGGGCACCGAGCAUGCGGCUCUCGGCCACGUCGUUCUUCGGCGUGGCGGUGCCGUGCGCGCAGAACCAGUCGACGUCCCGCG
rnacentral:antisense_RNA from 1 species